CUGGGCUUUAGGAUGUGGCUUUAGCUGGGGCUGGGGAACAAGAUGGUGAGAAGCGAUGGAGGAGGAAACUAAAAUGCCUAGGUUCCCGAGGGGCUCAGUCUGAGGGCGGGAAGACGCAUUCUCGGUUGAUAGGGGGCCAGGAUUCUAAGUGCUCUGGGGAGGGACAGAACCCGGGUUGAGUGGGGUAGUGAUGCCCCACUGGGUCCAGGGGGUGCAGUGAGGAUGCCUGGGUCCCAGUUUGUUCUUUCGCUUCGGAGCAGGACGUCGGGAUUGGGUAUCAGAGGAUCUCACUGUGCAGCCCUGACUGGCCUGGAACUCACUUAUGUAGACCAGAUCGACCUCAACUCAGAGAUGCACCUGCCUGUGCUCCUGAGUGCUGGGAUUAAAGGAAGGUCUUGGCCCAGACUCGGAAAUGCAGCUGCAGACUCCAGCUCUCUUGGCGGUGCAGUGGCCCAAACUCACAACGCAACCUGAAACACUUGGCUUCAGGGCAUUUCUGGAGAAAAAGAAGUCACCUCUCACCUUGGUGAACUCAGCACUGAAGCCCCCUUGACAGUAACCCUGCCCUGCUGCGCUGCUGAAAUCUGUGAGGGAAGAAGACAGUGAGGUGAGCUGUGCACUGAUGGGCUGACAGGGAAGAGAAGCAGGGGCUGAAAAGGAGACCAGAGUCUCCUGAGCAGCCUUGAAAAUGUAUAUUUUGUUGCUUGGUGGCCAUGAAGAAAAAGCCCUGAGCACCUGGGAUCCUCACAUGGAAAUAGUAGGUCAUGCCA